GGAGGUUGGUGGCGGACGAACCGCUCGCCAACCGGGUCAGGUCCGGAAGGAAGCAGCCCUAACGAGUACGGCACGGGUCGUCGUCAGCCUCCUGCU
rnacentral:SRP_RNA from 1 species